CGUGCCGGUCGCAAGUGGUUCCCGCGUUCUGUACCAAUUUUGUACCGGCAUCCGACUUCAACCGUCAACCCCUUGUGCUGUUUCAAUCGUCACCGGCUUAGUAGUUGAUUACUACGCAUUUAUUACAUAACAUUUGACACGAGCUGGCAGAUUUACGAUGCUGGGCGCUGGGCACGCGACAUAUCGAUCUGAUGGAUCCUGGCUUGACAAUCGGUGAAGUAUUGAGUGUAAGGAGUUCGUAAGCAUAAAAUUUGAUAUUCUAUUCGGUUGUUCGUACAUUUUCCGGUAUAUAUCGAGAAUACUAAAGCUAAAUUACUAGAAGUUUCCUAAUUAAAUUCGAACGUAGCAAAGCUGGAAUAAUUUUUAGACGUUUUGUCGCUUGCUGAUUUUUGUUCUAGAAAAAUCGAUCGAUAUUCGAAAAAUAUAUUUUAUUCUUUCUACAAGCUAUUACCAAUUACUGAUACAUUCAAUUGUCAAUACUAGUCGACGCGGAACACGGUAUUAAUAAUAAAAAUCAUUUAGUCUCUGAAUUUUUAUUUUUCCGAUAGAAUUUCAACGGUUUUCCAUGUUCAUCUCGAAUGUUCGAUGGAACAUUUUGUUUCGUUCCACGCGAUUCCAAAUACGCGAUUUCUCGUGAUAGUUUUUUAAAUUCGUAUAAUUUAAAUGACAUGUUUGGCAUUCAUUGAUGAUGCCAAACAUGAUUUAAUAUGUGAUCUGAUAGAAAUUAAUACGAUUUAAUUGAUUUUCAGGGAAAGGCAGUAAAUUUUAAGACAAACGCUCGAUGGUGGACAGCAAUAAAUUGUUUCAUUUGAUUUACCCCCCUACCCAUCCCCUUGUGUAUUAAUUCUGCUUUUUUCCAGAUUCUUCUUUCAGAUUCUUCUUGUGAUCGCGUGCAAUGCGAUCUUAGAGUCAGUGCUUGUUUCGUAAUAAUACUUCUUGAUUUUAUGACCGCGUGCAAUGCGGCCGUAGAAUUCCUUUGCUUCAAUCUUUUUAAUUAAUUAGCUUCAGAUAUCUUUUCCUAUUUCAUUCUAUUCGAUUUUUUAUCAAUUCUGUCGCGAAAUUCGAGUCAGUGCUUAUUCGCCGUUAAAAAUUUGAACGGACAUGUCAGUUAGCUUUCAAAUUAAUUUCCCUUUAUUUUUGCUUGCUCGUUUUCGGUAUUAAAAUCACCUCAAGAAAGAAGGUAGCGCGAAGAGAAAGCAUUCUUCGGUGGGCAGCAAUGGAUUUUAACCUGGCUGCUCCAAGAAUACUUUGUGGUCGCGCGCAAUGCGACCGGUAGAAUCAGUGCUUGCUUCGUAAUAGCUUCUAAUUGAUUUGAAAUAUCUUUUAAUCAGUUUAUAAUUAAUUCCCUAUAGAUUUCUCUUAUUAUUAAUAU